rnacentral:rRNA from 1 species
CCAGACUCCUACGGGAGGCAGCAGUGGGGAAUAUUGCACAAUGGGGGGAACCCUGAUGCAGCGACGCCGCGUGGGUGAAGGAGUACUUCGGUACGUAAAGCCCUAUCAGCAGGAAAGAAAAUGACGGUACCUGACUAAGAAGCCCCGGCUAACUACGUGCCAGCAGCCGCGGUAAUACGUAGGGGGCAAGCGUUAUCCGGAUUUACUGGGUGUAAAGGGGGCGCAGGCGGCGAUGCAAGCCAGGAGUGAAAGUCCGGGGCCCAACCCCGGGACUGCUCUUGGAACUGCGUGGCUGGAGUGCAGGAGGGGCAGGCGGAAUUCCUGGUGUAGCGGUGAAAUGCGUAGAUAUCAGGAGGAAC